rnacentral:misc_RNA from 1 species
GAUGAAGAACGUAGCGAAAUGCGAUAAGUAAUGUGAAUUGCAGAAUUCAGUGAAUCAUCGAAUCUUUGAACGCACAUUGCGCCCCUUGGUAUUCCGAGGGGCAUGCCUGUUCGAGCGUCAUUAUAACCCCUCAAGCUUAGCUUGGUGUUGGGGCCUGCUGUAAUAGAGCAGCCCUUAAAAUCAGUGGCGGUGCCAUUAGGCUCUAAGCGUAGUAAUUCUUCUCGCUAUAGGGUUCUGGUGGAUGCUUGCCAACAACCCCCAACUUCUUAAGGUUGACCUCGGAUCAGGUAGGGAUACCCGCUGAACUUAAGCAUAUCAAUAAGCGGAGGA